rnacentral:rRNA from 1 species
UACGAAGGGGGCUAGCGUUGCUCGGAAUCACUGGGCGUAAAGGGUGCGUAGGCGGGUCUUUAAGUCAGGGGUGAAAUCCUGGAGCUCAACUCCAGAACUGCCUUUGAUACUGAAGAUCUUGAGUUCGGGAGAGGUGAGUGGAACUGCGAGUGUAGAGGUGUAAUUCGUAGAUAUUCGCAAGAACACCAGUGGCGAAGGCGGCUCACUGGCCCGAUACUGACGCUGAGGCACGAAAGCGUGGGGAGCAAACAGG